UUGAAAAUGGCAUCAAUUGUA
ensembl:piRNA 21ur-3317 ncRNA